rnacentral:misc_RNA from 1 species
GUUGAAAUCAAAUAGUCCUUAGGGAGGAUAACACCAUGUUAACCAAUAAGAUGAAAAGGUCAUAGUUAUUUACACGCUUGAAAUGGCUGAAUGCAAACAUUUGAUGCCGCUCUUCCAAGGGGGGAAAAAUAGCAAAUUAAAAGAAUAUUCAUAUACUGUUAAUACACAAUAAAUUGAUCAGGAAAAAAAUGCGCCAGUAAAACUGGAAAGAAAUUUGAUAAAUAUCGACGGAGAAUUUUGGGACUGUAUACUGACAGAUCUUAUUCUAAUGUUUAUGAACAAAAGAAUUGUGUGGUCUAUCCCUCAACUCUCACACACCCACACCCACACCCGUUGCCCACCGCGCCCCCAAAC